GUAUAUGGCUACAUCAUAGCGUUAAUGCAUCAGAUCCCAUUAGAACUCCACAGUUAAGUGUGUUAAGGCUAGAGUAGUAUUGGGAAGGGUGAUCACUCGGAAAUUCCUAGUGUUUUACAUG
rnacentral:rRNA from 1 species